UACGUAGGGUGCAAGCGUUGUCCGGAAUUAUUGAGCGUAAAGCGCGUGUAGGCGGCUCGGUAAGUCUGCUGUGAAAGUCCAGGGCUCAACCCUGGAAUGCCGGUGGAUACUGUCGAGCUAGAGUCCGGAAGAGGCGAGUGGAAUUCCUGGUGUAGCGGUGAAAUGCGCAGAUAUCAGGAGGAACACCAAUGGCGAAGGCAGCUCGCUGGGACGGUACUGACGCUGAGACGCGAAAGCGUGGGGAGCAAACAGG
rnacentral:rRNA from 1 species